CUCUUUCUGCACAUGCCCAGAGAAAAGACCAUGUGAGGACACAGUGAGAAGGCAGCCAUCUGCAAGCCAAGAAAAGAGGCCUCAGGAAAACCCAACUCUGCUGGCACCUUGACCUUGGACUUCCAGUCUCCAGAACUGUGAGCAAAUAAAUUUCUGUUGCUCAAGCCAUCCAGUCUGUGGUAUUUUGUUACAGCCCUGGCGGACUAACACAGAGACUCAUAGAGGAAUGUCUCCAAAAUAGUUCCUCCCUUCACUUCAGGUCUGGAGGCGGGAAGUCCAAGAUCAAGGCUCUGGAAGGUUUGGUGUCUGGUGAGGGGCCAGUCUCUGCUUCUAAGAUGGCACCAUUUUUGCUGCGUCCUCCAGAGAAGAUGAAUGUUGUCCACAUUGUGGAAGAGAUGGAAGGGCAAAAGUGAUGGAAGGGGCAAACUCUGUCCCUCAAACCCUUUUAUAAGGGCUCUAAUCCCAUCCAUGUGGGUAGAGCUUUUAUGGCCUAAGCAUCUCCUAAAGGUCCCACCUCAUAAUACUGUUGCCUUUGGGAUUAAGUUUCAACAUGAAUUUUGGAGAAGACACAAACAUUCAAACCAUAGCAACCUCCCUUCUACCAAAUCUGUUUCUUUCACUUUAUUCUUGUAUUACAUAUUCUACUGGUAAAUCAUAUUAUACCAAACUUGAUCUAACAUGAUACAAUUUUACUAUGUGUCAUAAUUUCAAGUUAGUUUUAAAGUGAUUCUACAAAUGUGGUUUUGAUAACCUUACCAAGCAAGUAUACACAUAUACAUCAGCGUAACUGAGUCUACUCUCAUGCUAUUUAAAUUUGUAAAACACAGGGCCUACGUCCUGAAACGUCUUUCUUGCUUUAUUUUUCUAGAUAGCACUUUGCACUAUCCGAUAUAUAGAAUGUUUUACUUGUGGAGUUAUUCACCAGCUGUUUCCUCUAAUAGAAUAUAAAUUCCACGAAGAAAAAUAGUUUUAUUGGUAUCUUUAAUGCUAGAACAGGAUUCGGCACACAACUGGAACUGAAGAAAUAUUCAAUGAAGAAAUGAACUGAUGAAGGUCUACAUAUAUCAUGUGUGAAAUAAAAAAAAAAAAUAUAUAUAUAUAUAUAGGUGUCUGCCCCUCAGUUCCUGACACAGAUCUUCUAAAACUCUUGUAAUUUCCUAAGCAAUAGGAAUGCUACGAUCAUCUUUUGUUUUACUAUUUGGUUUUUGACCCUGGUUCCUGAGGCACAAAAAGAGAGCUCCUGGAUCCACUGGAAUUUCCUAGGUGAUAGGAGGAUCUUUUGUUCUAAUGACACAUUCUUGGUGAGAUCCUGGAUGGGGAUGGUCACCAGAAAAACCAAUCCAUGAUUAGAAGCUUGGAACUUUCAGCCCUACUCCCUAUUCUUCUGGGAGGUGAGAGGAGUUGGAGACUAAGUUAAUAAUUGAUCAUGUCUAUCUGAUGAAAUCACCAUAAAAAUCUCAAAAGUAUAGUGGCUCAUAGAGCUUCUGGGGUGGUGAACGCAUUCAUGUGCCAGAGGUGUGGCACAUCCCAACUCUACAGGAACAGAAGCUCUUGCACUCGGGACCCUUCCAACCUCUUUCUCUUGCUGUGUAUCUGUAUCUUUUGUAAUAUCCUUUCUAAUAAAUCAGUAAACACAAGUAAGUGUUUCCCUGAGUUCUGUGAGCCAUUCUAGCAAAUGACUGAAUCUGAGAAGCGGAUUGUGGGAACACCAAUUUGUAGCCAAGUUGGACAGAAGUUGAGGACCCACCAUUUGUGACUGGUAUUUGAAGUGGGGGCAAGUCCCAUGGGACUGAGUCCUUAACCUGUGG
rnacentral:lncRNA from 1 species